UGAUAGUGGUGGAGAUGGUGCUAGUGGUGGAGAUGGUGGUAGUGGUGGAGAUGGACCAUCACCACCUCUACCACUAUCACCACCUCUACCACCAUCACCACCU
rnacentral:pre_miRNA from 1 species